GAUGAACGCUGGCGGCGUGCCUAACACAUGCAAGUCGAACGGUAACAGGUUCUCACUAUGCUUUUGAAGUUUUCGAAGGUUUAGUGAGAAUGCUGACGAGUGGCGGACGGCUGAGUAACGCGUGGGAACGUGCCCCAAAGUGAGGGAUAAGCACCGGAAACGGUGUCUAAUACCGCAUAUGAUCUUCGGAUUAAAGCAGCAAUGCGCUUUGGGAGCGGCCUGCGUCGGAUUAGGUUGUUGGUGAGGUAAUGGCUCACCAAGCCGACGAUCCGUAGCUGGUCUGAGAGGAUGACCAGCCAGACUGGAACUGAGACACGGUCCAGACUCCUACGGGAGGCAGCAGUGAGGAAUCUUCCACAAUGGGGCAACCCUGAUGGAGCAACGCCGCGUGCAGGAUGAAGGCCUUCGGUCGUAAACUGCUUUUAUAAGUGAGGAAUAGUAGACGGUAACGUUAUAGAAUAAGGAUCGGCUAACUACGUGCCAGCAGCCGUAC
rnacentral:rRNA from 1 species